rnacentral:lncRNA from 1 species
AAUCAUUUUUAGGGCUGUAUUUAGAGUAGAGCAUGUAACAACUAUCAACUGACUUGAUAACCAGGAUAGAAACAAACUUCUGAAUUUUUUUUCACUUCAAUUCUACCUAGUAACCUUUGUUUGGUUUCGUAGCAAGAAUUCCUCCUGUAGUUUACCCAAAAUAAUGGGGUUUGCUACUGGAUGUCAGUUUACUCUGUUAAACAGAACAGAAAUUAGAACCGGUCGGUUAUCUUGAACAGAUCAUUAGAAGGCAAUAUGGAGCAAUAUCGGAAUCACAGGUAGCUUAGUCGGGCUUUUUAAACUUGAUAAGGUGAAGCAUAGAUAGCAUAUGGGAUAUCAUAUCACAUUUACUGUCAACAAAGAGCACUUGCUAUAAAGCAAAACCAAGAAACAUGCCAGCAGAAAAUAUAGAAUAUGUGUCAUGCCAGCUAGGGGUGAUUAUGAACCCAAUUACCGAAUAUUGAAAGAACCGAAAUAUCAAAUAACUGAAAUACCAAAUAAGCUUAAAAAUCAUAACCGAAAUAAUUUCGGUUAUUUUACUAAACCAAAUUGAAUAUUUCAGUCAAAACCAAAUACCAAAAUAAAACACCGAAUUUUUAAAAAAUAUAUAUAUAGAAAAUUACUUCCAAAUUAGAAAACGAAGCCAAAAUUAAGAUCCACAAAAACAAGUUACUAAGAGUUAUAUUAAGAUUCCCGGUCCACGUUACUUUAAAAACAACUAAAUAAGAAAUUAUAAAGCAUCAUUACAUAAAAUAUAAAAUUCAAAUACCAUCACUCAUUACUCAUAGAGUCAUAGUUAUUAAAAUAAGGGAAAUUCUCAAUGGUACACUUCUAGUUUUGGCUUUUCCAAAUGGUAAGCAAAAUUUUUUUGGCUUCCAAUUGGUACACUUACACUAUUCUAAUAUUCUGUACCAACCGNAGGGCUGUAUUUAGAGUAGAGCAUGUAACAACUAUCAACUGACUUGAUAACCAGGAUAGAAACAAACUUCUGAAUUUUUUUUCACUUCAAUUCUACCUAGUAACCUUUGUUUGGUUUCGUAGCAAGAAUUCCUCCUGUAGUUUACCCAAAAUAAUGGGGUUUGCUACUGGAUGUCAGUUUACUCUGUUAAACAGAACAGAAAUUAGAACCGGUCGGUUAUCUUGAAC